rnacentral:lncRNA from 1 species
UACCUCCUGUUGGACCUGUGCCCAGCUAACCACACGUGUUUGGCUGUCUGCCUUCUCUUCAUGUUGGCCUCUAUGCACUGUAUUCCCUUUGGACUUCAGUUACAAGAAUAUGGUAUUUAUGAUCAUGUUCUUUUGCCUCCUCGUGGCCUUCUUGCUUUUUCACAUUAGUGUUACAUGUUAAAUGAUCUCACCCCUACUGUUUAUAUGUUAAGCACACAUGUUUCAAGUGUGUGCUGCCUUUGUCUACAUUGCCUGGACCAUGUUCUUGGCUCUGGCCUUUCCCAGCUGUCUCUAACGUGGACACUCAUGAGUCAUCCUCCAAGAGGACCAGUGCAUCCUUAAGCUCUGCUACUUCAGGGCCAGUGACUUGCUGAGCUUUGUGUUCAUGCUGGCCAUGCAUGCCAUCUAUGGCCAGUUUUUCUGUUGCCACUGCAGAAUGAAGUUAGCGCACAUGGUAUUGGCCAUCAGCCAAAACUAAUUGUUCCAAAGCCCUGGGGUCACCGGCCUAGUUUCCACCACCUACUGGAUCUCUGACUUUGGCCAGGGGCCUCAGCUGUCCUCCUGGAUGUGCAGAAUAGCACUUGACUGCUGGGCAUGGAUGAGGUUGAGAGUGAGAAGCAGUAUGCCAUGUGUUCUGUACCAUCGUUUGUCUCUUCCUGCCUCUGGGCCCUUCUGCUAUUGAACAUUCGUCAAAGUCUAUACCAUGCCUCGUCACUGUCAGGCCACUGAGACUUGUCUAGGUUGCUAUUGGCCCCAACUGGCCUCGUGGUCAACGAGGACCUCAAGAACUGCCUGUGGACCCAGGCCCCCUGCCAGUGCAUGAGACACACACCAACCCUCCCCAGCCUUCCAGGAACCCUGCUGCCUGCCAGACUGAUGGGCCGGUGUGUGAACAUGUGCUCACUGUCAUCGUGCCAUGGCUGCAGGAUGAACUCCCUGGGAAUGUCAGGAAUGGGAAAUCCAGAGCCCUCCAAGUUGAACGCUGUGAAGCCCAUCCUUUUUUCGAGUCUCCGCCGCUCCCGCACUCAGCUGUUCCACAUCAAAUGGCAGUCUGGGUUCAGAGCAAGACGGCUUCUGAUCAAGACCAGUGAUACGAAAUACGGAGAAGUCCAGAAAAGGAGGAAUGCUCAAGAAAGUUGAGUUUCACUCCAUGUGGAGAUCUCUGACUAUACUGACGGCUUGCAUCUCCCCAUUCUUAAGCCAUGCAUAAAAAGGCCCCAGUUUUCCACUCUGCGUCAGGAUCUAAGAGGCAUUUCAGGCCAGAGUCUGAGUUGGGGUAGAUGAUGAGAAUGAUGCCUGUGGAGACUGUCAUAGUGAUGGCCCCAAGGAGUCACGCCUCCUGGUGGUCACGUGCUUGCCUGGUCCUCUCGCACAUUGGCGCUGGGUUUGGCCAUGUGACUCGUUUUGGCCAAUGGGACGUCAGCAGACAUAAGACAGGCAGGAGGCUUCGUAAGUGUUUGAGCCCUGGGAGUUCCUGAGGUUUGGACUGCGCUCCGGGAGGAUGAGAGCGCGGUGGAAGGAGAGGCCCUGCCCUCCCAGGCAGCCCUCCCGCUGAAUGGAGCCCUGGGGAAGCCUGUAGAGCUGCCCAGCUGCCCCACGGGAUCCUGAGAAGCAAUAAAUUGCUGUUAUUAUAAUUUUUUGAGUUGACCUUGAAUUCACAUAACAUAAAAUUAACCAUUUUAAAGAGUACAGUUCAGUGGCGUUUCGUAUAUUCAUGGUGUUGUGCAACCACCACCCCUUUCUAGUUCCCAAACCCCAAAAGCAUCACCCCAAAAGCAAACCCUGUCCCCGUUAAGCAGUCCAUGACCCUUCCCUCCCUCCACCCCUCUAGCUCCUGGCAACCACCAAUCUGCUUUCUGUCUCUAUGGAGACAGACCUUUGGUGACUGGCUUCUUUCAUUUAGCAUAAUGCAUUUACCCAUGUGGUGGCAGGUACCAGGACUUCAUUUCAUUUUGUACUCCCACAAACAGUUGUACGCCAAAUGUUCACAGCAGCACCAUUCGCAAUAGCCAAAAGGUGAAAACAGCCCAAAUGUCUAUCAGCCAAUGAAUGCAUAAAUGGAGUGUGGUAUAUACAUACAACAGAAUAUAAUUCAGCCAGAGUUACUGUUAUUCAGCUGUAAAUUACUGUUAUUUUAAGCCAUUAGGUUUGGGAAAGGUAACAGAUAACUGAUAGAGUUUUUCAGGUAAUUGGGGUAAUAAGAACUAUCAAUUCCUCCAUGGUUUCUAUGUGCCGUGUACUACAUGAAGCCCUUUGCAUGCACUACGCUUUGAUUUUCACAGGAACCCUCAGUUGAAGUAUUACUAUCGACCCCAUUUUACAAAUAGGAAAACUGAGAGAUUAAACAAUUUGCCCAAUUUAACCCAGAUGAUUUGAUUCCAGAACUCAUGCCUUAUCUACUCAUUGUACACAAUCCAGCCCUAAACCAGAGGCCUGCUCCGGUAGCUGGAAGGGCAGGAGCCCACAGCAGCCUGUGGCUUUGCUGUGAAAGAAAUACUGCUCUCUGUCUUCUAUACAAUUCCUAAUAUCACCAGGAGAAAUGACCGACAGAUAUUGAAGCUGAUAGUGGUUUAAAAUCUGGACAAUGUGAAAUUCUGAUCUGUGAAGCUUGAUUUGGGAAUAACGGAACGUUGUAGACAUAACGUCUGCAACAUAAAUGUUCAAGGGCAGAAGCUACAAUCCUAGUAUUUGAUAUAAACAAAGCACCCCGAUGGAUGGCCAAAGCUUUAUUGUAAAAUUUGCAUGGGAAAGAAGUAAUCCCAUUGAAAAUAACUUCUGUGAAAUUCAAUACCAAUAAAAGUGGAAAGAAUUGUAAAGAAUUUAACUGGGCUAUUUAAAAAAAUUGUUGAAGGAAUUAAAUUGACUUAAUGGAGUUUGUUCAGGAAAGUACUUUCAGUGCAAAAAUGUAUCCAUGACGAUAUAAUUGUGGUUUAAAUGGUAGUGCUCUUAGGAGUCAAAAUAUCCUCAGGACAGAACAUCUUUCUGAGUCAAAACAUCUUAUGAUUUUAUUUUUUAGUAUAGUUGGCACACGAUGUUAAAAUAUUUUUUAUCUUUCUUAAUGAUUCUUUGAAGAGUGUAAAAUGCUGUUAGGGCACCCCUCAAUAUAGCUAUUUUUAAAGAAAAGAUUAAAAAAAUAAAAUAAAAUCCUAUUAAGGUAUGAAUGUAAGUCACUCUGGGAUGCCAAGACAGAUUUCUAAGGCCCUUUGGAAAACAAGUGCCUUGGGAUAUAGUCAGGCCCCCAGAUACUGGGGUUACUUACAAUGCAAGGUGAGGCAGUGAAGACUUCCCUGGGGCGUCAGGAAUUCACCCCAGUGCAGGGGAAGGUCAAGCACUGGUGUUCCUCUUGAGACACAGGUUUUGGGCAGGGAGGGGAGUGGCACAGAGAGAAGCCACUUGAGUAACCUUGUGGCCCAAUGUUUAGGGAAGGUAGCAUGCAUUUCUCCAUAAGAAGGAGCCUUAAUCCUUAAGAGAGAAGAAAGGGCAGCAUCUCUCUGGGGUGUGGUCAUCUCAGGUAACCAGGGAACCUGGAAGAGCAGCAAUGUGAACCCAGCAGCAAAAUCCAGCUAGGAGCCACCAUAUGGGAGCAGGAGCUACUUGGGAUUCACUAGAAAGAGAUUUGUGGCUGGCUGGGGUAGUGUGGGGAUGUGGGGAAGAAGUGCAGCGCUGUUUAUACAAGAAGCCCUACAUCUAGGCCUACAAGCUUUUCGGGUUUCAUAAAAAUAUUGAUCAGGUAUAAAUAUAUCCAGAAAAUUUCAAAGCUAAAAUGAGCAAAUGAAGAAAUGUAUGUAAAAUGUGACAUUAGGUCCUCUAAUAAUGGAUUACGUGUGGUUCUCAUAUAGUUACAAUUAAUAUGAAGUUUGGAUCAUAAUAAUUUAUUCUUCAUACACUCAAAUUUUAUGAAAAUUAAGCAUCCUUUCAAAAGUUACCGCAAAAUAAUAUGUAGUAUAAAUAACAAUAUUAUAUAUUUAAACUAUAUAUGUGACUCACUUUCUUCUGUUUUUUUUUAUCUAUCUAUCCAUGAAAGCUGUGGGUAUGUUUUCAUGUAUCUUACAUGAUUUAGGGGGAGUCUAGGGCCCACAAGGUCUUCAGAUGACAUGAGGGGGAGGGGGCAUGACUUAAAGGUGAGGUAAGUGUUGUUAGCCUGUUCACAAAAUUGAGUGCAGUCUGGAGCCAGUGGCCUAGUUAAUUAGCCCCAGAGCUUGAUUUUUCUCGAGGCUGGCAUGGCCCAAGAAACAGGAAUUGUAUACAAUAUUCUCAGAAUUUACACAGAAAAAGUACUGAGUAGACAGGGAACAAAUAGAUCGAGGUUUAAGAUUAAGAAGGUAGAUUGUGGUUCCGUGAUGUACUAGGUGCCAAGUGAGGUUAAAAAUAAAAUCCCAGGGCGCCUGGGUGGCUCAGUCCUUCAGCAUCUGCCUUCGGCUCAGGUCGUGGUCCCAGGGUCCUGGGAUCGAGCCCCAUGUCGGGCUCCCUGCUCAGCAGGAGACCUGCUUCUCCCUCUCCCCCUGCUUGUGUUCCCUCUCUUGCCGAGUCUCUCUCUGUCAAAUAAAUAAAUAAAACCUUAAAAAAUAAAAUCCCAAACCACAGCUUGGGGCCAUCAUGUGAAUGGAACCCUCUGGGGUUGUACAAGAUGGCGGCCCCACCACAUCUCUUGGAUUCACAGAAACAUGGAGAGCAGGUUAGAACUGUAGAGACUGAUCAUCCUGCAUUCCAUUCAAUGGGAUCCUACUCAAGAUACAAUGAAUGUGUAGUCAUCACAAGGAAAAGGAAAAAGAUAUUUUCUGCAGAGAGGAAACCCCCAGGCUGAGCCCUAAACAAACCAGCACAUUGAAUUCCUUCCUUGCAGGACUGGGGCCUGGAGCCUUGGGGAUGACACAGCUCUCUCUCUGUUCCUACAGAAGCUGAAUAGGUCUGGGCAACUGGCCGUAGGCUGAGCAGACAGAUUGAAAUGCAGGGAGCACUAAUUUGUUAGGAAUCCCUGAGGCCCCUACUGUCACCGGCCAUUACUUACAUCCCAGAAUCUUUCUUUACAGGGGACCUCUCAUUCAUGAACACAUCCAUAAACUUAAUGCCUUUGUUUUUUUAAGGGGAGAGAGCAUAAGUCAAGGGCUAUUGCAGUAGAUCCUGGCUCUCUGAGCGCCCCACACCGUCACUGUUCAUCUUGCUGAAUACCAGCAGGGUGGGCUCUGCAGAGAAAACAAUUAACGAGGGCAACUUCACUUUUGGAGAGAACUUGAAAGCUCUCCUGAUUCCCAGCCUCAGUGCUGAUUCCCUUGAAACUGGAACCUCUCCUUUUGAUGCUUUAGAAACCAAAUGGAUAACGGAAACACUUCCCUGGUGGGUGUUGAGAAAUGGAUCCUUCACCAACACCCACCUACCCAAAUUCAAGGCAAGCUUGGAUGGAAUGCAUUUGGCCCGUGUGUUUUUACGAGUAAUCCUGCAGCCACUCAAAGGGCACUGGUGGGAAUUUGAAUAAAAGGUCUUCAUCCUCUUUAUUUUUGCACCAAGUAACCAUUCCUGCCCAUUCUAACCUUUCCCACCCCUCUGCCUCUGUUCCUCCUGAUUUAGAAUCCUAGAAUAUCAGGUCUGACAGGAACAUAAUAUUGCCCUAUCUUACACCUUAUUUCACCCCCCUGAGAAAACAGGGCCCAGAAGGAUGAACAAAAUAGCCAAUAGUUACUCAGCUUAGCAUCACAGCUGUGGCUAAGUUGGGUCCCUUGAAGGUAGGGCCAUUCCCAAAAGGACUCAGGAUUUGUGCCUUUUUUCACUUGAUGAAAUUGGGCGAAGAUCCUUUGAUGACACACCCCAGUGAACUCCAGACUUCAAUGUGGAAAUGUGGGCAUGAGCUCUACACUAACCUCAUGGAUACAGAUUGACUAGGGCCAAGCUCCAGUGGACACACAAACCUUGCUUUGUGGACCAAACAUCAUGCUGAAAGUUGUAUAUCACAAUUUUUUUGGUUAAUAACUACAUUUUACGAGCACAAAGACACCUGGC